GCGCCCCUCUGCCAAGUGGAAUUUUUAUCCAAAGAUAAGCCUGUGUCUAAUACGUCUUUGGGUCUUUGGAUUGGAAAAUGAUGCAUUGAAUCUUGCGACUUCUUGGCAAAUGACUGUGGGUGCCGCUGCUGUGAGCACAUGAGGGGGGUGAUUUGAAUCUGAAGUGACCAGGAUGCUCAUGGGUCAGUGCAUGAACUCCAUGCCUAUAGCCCCACUAGGUCUGAAGCAGAUGAAGAUCCCCUGUGUGGAGAUGAAAUGAGGGGAAGGAGAGAAUGGCUGCUGUAUUGAAAGUCAAGGGCAGUGGUCUUUCAAAGGAAGACGUAGGAGAAGCAGAUCCCUAAGGUUGGGUACUGAGGGGCACUGGGCUCAGUGGGAAGGGUUGUAGUGAUAUCCAGCAGGCCCCUUCCCCAUCCUCCCUGAUGGACGGUUGGUGAGCAAGAUGGCAGGUGGGACAGGGCUAGGGAGGGAGGUAAAAUGGAGACCUAGGGUACAGUGAACAGAAUGGGUUCCAACACCUUUCACUUCCAGCUUUCACAGAUGCCCUGAACACUUGAAAGCAACAAGGAAGUUUUCAUUCCAAAGAGUGAUGCUGGUGUCUUUUUCUAGCCCCUCCCAAGUGGCACUGAUUGACCAUUGGCAACUGGCUCUUCAAACUCUCUUCCAAAGCAUUGCAUCUCUGUGUAGACACAUGAGGAAUGUAGUUCCAUCUGGAAGCAGGUUUCCUCUAAACUGUCUUGCCUCAUGUGCUCUUUUUCCUCUGCUCAUACCUCAGUCGCAUCAAAGCCCCAUAGGCAUUGUCCCUGGGGAUCAAGAAGCAGUCCACCCCAAAAGGAAUAGCAGAGACAUAAAGAAUUGGAGUGAGAGAGAGUUCUGGGCAGAUGCUCAAGGUGUGGGUGGCAGGUUGAGCCCACUGAUUUGUGACAUUCUGCAUUUCAGGUAGUGGGACAUUUCUAACGUCAAAAUCUUUGAAACCACCAGGGCUUUUUCUUGCUGGGUCUUGGCAAUACUCCUUCAUGUCAUAGGUUUAGAAACUCAGGCUAAAGAAAGUACCCAUGGAAAAGUGCCUGCCCCUGGAAAUGUUUAUGAUAGCUCUGCUCCUUCCUCUAUUGACUCAUAACUCCGCAUGCAUGGUCUCACCUGGCUGGGCUCAGAAAAUAGUUAUCUUAUUAUAAAAACAGUAAACCCUUGACUCCAUUAAAUAAUUAAAGCUUCUUAGACAUCCCAUCUAAAAGGUUUCCCAUUUUUCUUCCUGACAAAUUACUAAUUUGUGCAUUUCGAAGCAGAUGGAUUUAGUCAAAUUUCCUUUGUCAGUAAGUAUUCUGUGCAAUAAAUGUUUCCAGGUCCUAAAGGCGACUUUGCUCAGGUUCAAGCCAACAACCUCCACCCCCCAACCAAACAAAAAGGAAUGACCCCAGUUUGAGUUAGUCGUAUCCAUAUACAUGAAGAAUAUCCAUGAGUUUGAAAUGUUUUAAGAAUCAGGAAGGGUGGGGGAGAGGAGACAAGAGGAAAAGGAUGAAUUGCUUAUGAUUCUGCUCUUAAGGAGUGAUUUUAUGUCACUGCUCCCUGCUACUGGAAGUUGCCAUCCACCUCUGACCAAAGUACAAAGAACAUUUGACACAACAUAAAACAUGAAAAGAACUUUCAGUGGCUUAGUGUUCUGGCUGUGACUCAAAUGUGCAUGCCCAGGCAGGCUCCACAGUGGAGGUCUGGCUCCAUUGCUCUACUCUAGGAGGCUGAAGCUGAUGUGGUCCAUUAAUAUCACUCUCUUGUCAAUAGCAGUUUCCAUCGAUGGAAGCUGGACUGAUCCAAAUGUAGUCUUACUUCUGAAACAUCCAAGGAUUCUAGGUAGCUGCUUCUGUGUUUCUUUUUCCAACUAGACAGUGAAUUCCUUGAGGGAAAGGAUAAUGUCCAUUUGGUUUGCAUCUGUAGACAUCAGCUCAGUAAUUGGCACAUAAAGGCACUCUGAUAAAAAAAAAUUUUUUUUUAAUGAAAUGGUUUAAAAACAGCAAGAUCCUCUGUAAAAGUAGGACAUUAUACUCCUCUAGUUUUCUUCAGAGCAUAUAAAUAUUUGAUAGGAGGUUGCACCAGGACUGGGAUUCUGACUCCUAGUGGUGCCAGGAUCUGGGGCUCUGGGACUUAGAGACAGAAGAGAUGGACCCCUGGUUCCGUCAAGGACAAAGCUGAUGGGAAACUGGCAUGGGUGUUAGGAGGGAGGGUGAAUUAGUUUCCUAUAGCUGCUGUAACAAAUUACACCAAAAGAUGAGUGGGUUAAAACAACACCAACUUAUUAGCUUAACCAUUCUGGAAGUCAGAAGUUCAAAAUGAGUCCCCCUGGCUAAAAUCAAGGUGUUGACAAGUCUGUGUUCCCUGGGGAGGCUCUAGGGGAGAAUAGUUUUCUUGCAUUUUCCCAUUUCUAGAGGCCAUCUGCAUCGUUUGGCUCAUGGCCUCUGCCUCCGUCUUCAAAACCAACAUCUUCAAAUCUCUCUCUGACUCUUACCCUGACCCUCCUGCUUCCCUCUUUGACUUAUAAGGACCCUUGAGAUUACAUGGGGCUCAACUGGUUCCCCAUCUCAAGGUUACCUGAUUAGCAGUCUAAAUUCCAUCUGCAACUUUAAUUCCCCUUUUCCAUGUAACAUAACAUACUCACAAAUUCUGAGGAGUAGGGCAUGGAUGGCUUUUGAGGGGAGGCAUUAUUCUGUUUACCACAGAAGGGCACCUGGGUGGUCAUGGAGUCCAGCAUCCUCGUGCUACACUUGAGGAAACUCAAGCUCCAAGAGUUUAUUGGAAUUCCAACUGUUUUCCUCCACAGGAGAGUUAAGCUCACUCUAAGGCCCGACCGUCUGCACCCAGAGCCCUAAGCAAGACUCAGCAGGAGGCCCCUGGCCUCCUCUUCCUCCAGUUCUUUCUUCUACACCUGUGCCUCAUUGCUUUCCCACCCUGUCCAGGGGAGGGUGCCAGGGUGUGUGUGUGGGGGGUCACAGUACACCUGACCAUGUCCAGACUGGAUGGAGAGUGGCCAUUUCAUGGGGCCAGAGAAUGGAUUGGACGCAUCCAUAAGAGCCCUGUCAUUUUGGCAGAAGCGUGAGCUCUUAGAAGUACAGCUUCUGGAGGGAGGGGAGGAUAGGUGAUGGGUAUUGAAGAGGGCAUCUUUUGGGAUGAGCACUGGAUGUUGUAUGGAAACCAAUUUGACAAUAAAUUUCAUAUAUUAAAAAAAAAAAAGAAGUACAGCUUCUGGAGCCACCUGCGUGGCUCAGUGACUUAAGUGUCGGACUUCAGCUCAGGUCAUGAUCUCACAGAUCCUGAGUUCAAGCUCCACAUGGGACUCACUGCUGUCAGCUCAGAGCCCACUUCAGAUCCUCUGUAUCCCCUCCCCCUCGCCCCUCCCUCUCCUCUUUCUCAUAAACAAAUAAACAUUAAAGAAAAAAAGAAUGGGUGUCUGCAUGGCUCAGUUGGUUAAGUGUCUGACUUUUGAUUUCGGCUCAGGUCCUGAUCUCAUGGUUUGUGUGUUUGAACCCUGCAUUCGGCAGGGCUUCUGCGCUGACAGCGUGGAGCCUGCUUGUGAUUCUGUCUCUCCUUCUCUCUGUCCCUCUCUCUCUCUCUCUCUCAAAAAUAAAACGUUUUUUAAAAAAAAGAAAAAGAGAAAAAAAAAGAAGUACAUCUGCCAGUUGCCUAACUAGGACACUGAACUCAAGGGACUUGGGGCCUUAAGAAUCUGAAAGCCUGUAUUGUCCUUACUAGGAAGUCCAUAAAAGGGGGAACUAGUGGGUGAUCCCCAACUGGCUGGUUCACAACUGACACUGAUAUUGCUGCUGGGGCCGCUGCUGUGGGUUUCUCAGCCUGGAGACCCUGUUGGACCAUGGCCCAUUCUUGGCAAAAGAAGGUUCCGGCUGCCGAGCGUCCUUUGAGUAGAUGCUGGUGAUUCUGGCUCCAGAGCUCAAGUUUAAGGCAGUAGGUGGUCCAGGAGGCACAAGAGCAGGUCCCCAGUCAAGGCCAGGGCCAGAGGAGAAGACACAGGAGGACUUACUGCAUGAGACAUUUACUAGGAAAGAGCAAACCACCAUCUGGGGGAGCAGAGGACCAGGGGACGGGACAGGUCUUAUUCCUAAAGUUCCCUCCUUUCAUGUCACUCCGUUCUGUGUAGCUGGCCAGCCCCUUUACCUACACCACAGCCAACAAAAGCCUCUGGCCAAGGACACGAGGGCCCAGGACCUUGCUUGGAAUUCCUCAGAACCCUGGGAUGCAGCCAGUCUGGUGGGGGGAAGAUGGGGUGUUAAGGGUGGAUGGGACCACUGAGGAAGGCAGACCAGGCCUCUGGAGGCGGUUGACAUGGCUCCGUGAAGAACAAGGGGACCAUGGCCCCCUCAGCGUAGGGCUAUAGAGUUCCCCAUCUGUCUCCUGGCAGCUGACAGGUGGAGACAAGAACCCUGACCCGAGAGGUGAGUGAAAAGAGAAGCAAGGUAUCUUCACCCAGGGGAGAGCCCAUGUCCUCUGGCUGAGUGCCUGGCGAGGUUGGGAUCACCAUGAGCAAGUUCUACUUUGAUUGAAAGUCUCUAACCCAGGAUUCUGGACCAAAACCUCAGCAUCCUCUGAAGGAGACACAGCUGAGGAUCCGAAAGGGCAGAGAGAGCUUGCGAGGAAACGGGUGCAGGUGAAACUGGGGAGAACAGGUGGAAAUGGGUCAGGGAUGUGGCUGAGGCUGAGGUUGGUGGUUCCAGUGAUGAUGGAGGUCGAGGAAGAUGACGCGUUGGGGAUCAGGAUGUGCUUCUGAGACACAAUAUCGAGGAAGAAUGAGGUGGGGGUAUCGAUCAGCCUGAGGGAUAUUCCUUCUGCAGAUGGGCAGUGUUGAUGGAGCCCUGCCUUUUCAGUGGUGCUGAAAACUGGGCAGCCCCAGGGAGGAGAGAGGCCUUGUAUACUUUGUCUACACCUACAGCUGCAGACAAGAAGGCAGGGCACCCGCCUUUCCCCAGAAGAGUCAGUUGAGAAGGACAUAGCCGCCUCCCCUAGGGAGGCCCCUGCUUCCUUCCCGUCAGGGCCCUCCAAAGGCUGCACAACCCAGGCCCCCAGAAGUGAGCCCCCCUAAUGUGUAGUGGAAAAUGAAUCCUAAAGGAAGGCCAGACUGCCACCUGACGAGCACCCUAGACUGGAUGUCACUUGAAGCCUCCUGGGGCUCUGGCGCCCUGUGAAUCUCUUCCUCUUGGAACCUGGGCAACAGCUAUCUAGUGCCUUGCUGGGCCCCAGGCUCUCCUGCCAGCAGUGCCUGAGAUGGGAAGACUGAGAGCUAAGAUUAUCCUUUAGGAACUCAGUGUUCAAAAAUGUGCCAUGACCCAUGGUGGCCCUUUUUCUCUUGGGGCUCCAGAGAGCUUCUGAGCUGGACAGACUGGAAUAAGAGAACCCAGCAGAAAUGGAGGGAGAAGCAAGAGGUCCAGAGUCUGGGAAAAUGUCAUUGGAAAGUAGCUAGCAUGGAAAUGUGAGUUUCCCGCCCUCUACUAUUCUGAUAUUCUCAGGAGCUGGGAAGCUGGCAUAAAAAAUAGUCAAGGUUUUAAAGCUGCAAUGGACUAUAUUCUGUUUCUUUCAAAAUUCUUUUCACAUCCUCCCUGGCAGAGAGGCCUGCCUGCUUUCCUAUCAACACUGAAGAAUGUAUAGCAGCAUCUAUAUAUACACCCUGAGGUGUGCUCCCAGAGCCUGAUGGUUGGAGCUGCCUCCCUGGCUCUUUCUUCCCAUUGAUGGAAUGGUGUCUGUAAAAAUGUUUUGAAAAUAUGAAAAGUGGCAAAUUGGCCUUCAUGACAAAUAGAACUUAAUGUAACAUAUUUUACACGUUAAAUCUCCACGAACAAAAGUGAUCUCUAAUGUUUUCUUUCUCAGGGCAAAUUCCUUGGCAUUUACAUACCUUCAGUGUUUUACUGUGAUCCUGGCUGGUGGGGGGGGGGGAGUUAUCAUAAUAAAUAAAACAGCUUUCACCUGUA